GCCAUGGGUGUGUCCUGGUGUGGGGGCUGGCCUUGCCUGGAGGCCAGGUGCCCACCCAGCUGCUUUGUCAGUGUCUUCUCACCAGGACUGGAGAGAGAAAAUAAAAUGGAAAACAACCUGAGGAAAACAAGCCAAAGUGAGCAACCUCUUUGGUCAACACUCAGAUGCUUUCAAAGGACAGAACCAAUCCAGUUAACUCCUGAAUAUUGCUGUUUAGAGAAAGGCAUCAUUUUAGCUGUCAAGUUAUUUAUAGCACAUGUUCUGACAGGAGCUUAGAAGCAGUUGUCUGUCAUAAACCAUUGGGAGGCUCUGGAGAAGCUGUGGAGAUUGGACUUGUAAUAACUCCUUUGUUUUGGUGACAGCAAAUUUGCCUCUAACACUGAGCAGCCCGGCCAGGCUGUGAUUGCUCCCAUGGCUGUGCAGUCACCUCCUCCCGAGGGAUGGGGACAGUGGCUGCCCAAACACUCCAGCAGUAUAUGAAAGGGGACAGAAGCAGUCACAGCACUGCACACAGAAGGAACAAGACAGGCAAACACCUUCAGACUGCCACCUUCUUGACAGACCCUGGCCCUCAGAAGCGAAAGCUGUAUAAGUGUCAGUGCUGCUCUGUGAAUCACAGAAUUCCCUUCUUCUGCUCUCUGAGAAGUCAGAAAAUAAUGUUUUGCUCUGGUCUUGGCUCAGCUAAUGUCAGCCAAAGGAAUUUCCCAUUUAAAUCAAAGCAAGAAAGUGCCAGUAAUUGACUGCAGAAAUAAUGAAAAAAAAUCUAUUGACUCUAUUUGAAACUUUGUAGCAAUCAAGUAAACAAAACUGAUUAAAUAUUUAAAAAAUAAUAAGAGAAAAGAACUUUUUUCUCCAGCUGACUGUUUCAACAAGGCAUUGAGUUCCAUUUUCUCCAUCACUGGGUAGUAAAAUUGAUUUACAAUUACAACCAUGGAUUUAUUACUAGUAUAACUAAUAUCUAAAAUUCUAACAAAUUACAGUUUCAAAUUCAGCAUUAUCUUUCCCUAGGAAUUAUCACUGAAUGAACAGAGCCUGUUUACAGAUUUAUAAAAAGUAAAUAGUCCUUCCACAUGUGCAUAAUUUUCUAUUUAUUUUCAUGGUCAUUUUUGAUGGAAAGUUGCUGUUACAUCUUUAUGCUUGCCCACCUCACAUGCUUCAUAAUUCUUUGGCUGACAUUCUGUGUAAACCUGUUUAUUAUAAAACCCUGAGCUCUGUCACUGAUGCCCUUUGUGCAAGCUCACUGGGAAGCAAGGCAAGUGAAAGCAAGGCAGCUGCCACGCUGUAUUUUUGCAAUAUGCUUUACUUUCCUUGUGUUGAUGCUGUUAAGAAAAAAUAUUCCAACACCUCAAUCUAUUGUAGGUCGUACUAAUUUCCAAUAUUAAUAAAUAUUCAUUUUCCCUGAAAUGAGGAUGGAGUGAAAAAUGGUCGUAAAACUGUUUAUAAUAAAUAAACCAAAAAUUAUGUAAUAUCUCCUCCUGUUUUCAUAUGCUAAUUUGACCCCUGCUUGACAAAAAUUUAACAAGUGCAUGGCAACUGCUUCAGUUUAGCGGAUGUGAUAUACACAGACAUUGUUACUACGCCUUAGGCUUGAUAAGUUAAAAAUGUUCUAUUAUAUUCCUUAAGGUCACCUUUAUGCAUUUCUUAAUUUCUUUUAGUCUCUAGGAAGGAGACACAUAAUAAGUAACUCUCCUUCUCUGAUUUUGAUUUGGAAAGGGAACUCUAGAUCUCCUGUACCUCAGUAAGUCUUUCUGUCCUCAUAAAAAAUCUCAGAGUUCACCAGGUCAGUUUUAUUUCCAAGGAAGUAUCGAGGUGCUGCAGGGCAAUUUACAAGAAAAUUUGAAGUUUAAUUUACAUGUGAGAGAAAACUGAUUUACACUGAAAUAAUUUUCAUAUGAUGUAACCAAUGUUUAAAUGGUACUAUGUGAUUUUUUUUUCCAGUUUGAUUGGAAAGUUUGAUGACAUACUCAUUUCAGAAGAGCUCUGCAAAGACCAGUUUAUAUCAAUUUUUCUUGUUGCUUUCAAUGAUUUUUUGACCUUGUGAAAACAAUUCUGAAGUUUAGGAAUUUAUUGACUUAAAAUAGUGCAAUUUUUCAAAACUCAAGGUAAACCUUGAGUUUUACAGAAAGUAAAUAACCUGAGAGGGUGAAAUGGGGAAACAAUUGUUAUGAUAUAGACAAAUUUUAUUGGGGUUUGAAAAUAUCUGCUGAGUUUUAGCUUGUUUGUUUGCUAAACAGAGAAGCACCUCAUACCUUAAUGGUGCCAGCUGAGUGGCAAAGCAUUCAAGUUUCAGCUCCUCUGACAUUUUGAAAAUUAAUGGAACUUUCAACACAUCAUUUCUGCUGGUUUAGAUGUGGUUGUUUGCAUAGUCUAGAUAAAUUUCAGAUGAGCUCUCAGAUCUCUAACAUCUAUCAAUAUCUGUCAACAACCCAAAGUUUCAGCACACUUCAUUUCAUUUAUAAAGCUGUUCUGGAGCGCCAGUGUUUGCUUGAUCCAUGUGUCUUUUCUGAGUGUUGUAAUCCAUGUUUUCAUCACAAGGUUGAGCAUUUUAUUACAUUGAAUGCUCAACAGAAUGGAAUACUAGUGAAGCUAAAAAACUGCUGUAUUACAUUUGUCAAAAGAAAUCUGUUUUGAUGAUGGAACUGAAUCUAUAGCCCUUGUUUACUGUUUAGUCAACUUAACAGAGUUUUCAUAUGGAAAAGAGUUUGUUCUGAAAAAUGCUGAUUGCAAAAAACUCUCCACAAACCAAAAUAA